rnacentral:lncRNA from 1 species
CAGCGGUACUGUGGUUGCGCUGGGCCAGCAGCUGCUUGAUGGAGACCUCUUCUCCCCACAUCUGAAUGGAACGUCUUUGCCCAGAGUCUACAGAAUGUCAAAACUGAGGCUCCGACCUCAGAGCUACAGCUUUAAGGACCACUCCACACAAAGAGGCAGCUGGUUGCUUUAAUGAAAACUGCCUUUAAGCUUCAAGAACUGAGGCCUUG